rnacentral:rRNA from 1 species
UAAUACAGAGGUCUCAAGCGUUGUUCGGAUUCAUUGGGCGUAAAGGGCGCGUANGCGGUGGGGUAAGUCUGGUGUGAAAUCUCGGAGCUCAACUUCGAAAUUGCACUGGAUACUGCUCUGCUAGAGGGCUGGAGAGGAGAUCGGAAUUCACGGUGUAGCAGUGAAAUGCGUAGAUAUCGUGAGGAAGACCAGUGGCGAAGGCGGAUCUCUGGACAGCUCCUGACGCUGAGGCGCGAAGGCUAGGGGAGCAAACGGGAUUAGAUACCCCGGUAGUCCUAGCAGUAAACGGUGCACGUUUGGUGUGCGCGGAUUCGACCCCGUGCGUGCCGGAGCUAACGCGUUAAACGUGCCGCCUGAGGAGUACGGUCGCAAGAUUAAAACUCAAAGAAAUUGACGGGGGCCCGCACAAAGCGGUGGAGUAUGUGGCUUAAUUCGAUGCAACGCGAAGAACCUUACCUGGCCUUGACAUGCAUUGUGUCGUCCGUGAAAGCCGGCUAACGUAUCAAUACCCCNCUUUGCACAGGU